UCAAACAGGUUAUAAAAUGGCCAACAGAUUUACGAAAGGAGCUAACUGAAGUUUCCACCACGUGGAUUACUUCCUGAAGUCAGAGCGGAGGUCAUUCUUUAGUAACGGAGGACGUUCGGGCUCUCAGCAUGUGGAUGAACAAUGUGUGAAUCAUUUAAGCAACACUCCUUGGAAACAAUCACCACGGUAUCAACCCGCUUCUGAGCAAAGUUAAAAGGCUUCUGCAAAUGCUGCAAGCAGUUCUGCACCGUUUACCACACUGAGUCCAAAGGAAAUAGAGCAAGG